GACGAACCGUGCGAACGUUAUUCGGAAUCACUGGGCUUAAAGCGCGUGUAGGCGGGCCGGCACGUCGGUCGCUGAAAUCCCCCGGCUCAACCGGGGAAGGGGCGCCGAUACGACCGGCCUGGAGGGGCGUAGGGGGACCGGGAACUUCCGGUGGAGCGGUGAAAUGCGUUGAGAUCGGAAGGAACGCCCGUGGCGAAAGCGCAGUCCUGGACGCCUGCUGACGCUGAGACGCGAAAGCCAGGGGAGCGAACGGG
rnacentral:rRNA from 1 species